AACGAACGUUAGCGGCGCGCUUAACACACGCAAGUCGAACGAGAAAGGGUUCUUCGGAACCCCGGUAAAGUGGCGCACGGGUGAGUAACACGUGGGUAACCUACCCCCGGGCGGGGGAUAACGUUCCGAAAGGAGCGCUAAUACCGCAUAAGACCACGUCCUGAAAUGGAUGAGGUCAAAGCAGGCCUCUGCAUGCAAGCUUGCACCUGGGGGAUGGGCCCGCGGCCCAUCAGGUAGUUGGCAGGGUAACGGCCACCAAGCCUAAGACGGGUAGCUGGUCUGAGAGGAUGAUCAGCCACACUGGAACUGAGACACGGUCCAGACUCCUACGGGAGGCAGCAGUGGGGAAUCUUGCGCAAUGGGCGAAAGCCUGACGCAGCGACGCCGCGUGAGUGAUGAAGGCCCGUAGGGUUGUAAAGCUCUGUGGAGAGGGACGAAUAAGUGUCGG
rnacentral:rRNA from 1 species